rnacentral:rRNA from 1 species
UAACUUAGUGGCGAACGGGUGAGUAACGCGUGAGUAACCUGCCUUGGAGUGGGGGACAGGAGUUGGAAACGACUGCUAAUACCGCAUAAGCCCACGGAUUCGCAUGGAUCUGCGGGAAAAGGAUUUAUUCGCUUCAGGAUGGACUCGCGUCCAAUUAGCUAGUAGGUGAGGUAACGGCCCACCAAGGGCGACGAUUGGUAGCCGGACUGAGAGGUUGAACGGCCACAUUGGGACUGAGACACGGCCCAGACUCCUACGGGAGGCAGCAGUGGGGGGAUAUUGCACAAUGGGGGAAAACCCUGAUGCAGCGACGCCGCGUGGAGGAAAGAAGGUUUUCGGAUUGUAAACUCCUGUCGUUAGGGACGAUAAUGACGGUACCUAACAAGAAAGCACCGGCUAACUACGUGCCAGCAGCCGCGGUAAAACGUAGGGUGCAAGCGUUGUCCGGAAUUACUGGGUGUAAAGGGAGCGCAGGCGGACCGGCAAGUUGGAAGUGAAAACCAUAGGCUCAACCUAUGGAUUGCUUUCAAAACUGCUGGCCUUGAGUAGUGCAGAGGUAGGUGGUAUUCCCGGUGUAGCGGUGGUAUGCGUAGAUAUCGGGAGG